AUACGGAGGGUGCAAGCGUUACUCGGAAUCACAGGGCGUAAAGCGCGCGCAGGCGGGCUGAUAAGUUGGAUGUGAAAGCCUACGGCUCAACCGUAGAACUGCAUCCAAAACUGUCAGUCUAGAGUCUGGGAGGGGAAGAUGGAAUUAGUUGUGUAGGGGUAAAAUCCGUAGAGAUAACUAGGAAUACCAAAAGCGAAGGCGAUCUUCUGGAACAGUACUGACGCUGAGGCGCGAAAGCGUGGGGAGCAAACAGGAUUAGAAACCCUAGUAGUCC
rnacentral:rRNA from 1 species